rnacentral:rRNA from 1 species
UACGGGGGGGGCAAGCGUUGUUCGGAAUUACUGGGCGUAAAGGGUGCGUAGGCGGCUUUCUAAGUCGGAUGUGAAAACUCUGGGCUCAACCCAGAGCCUGCAUCCGAAACUGGAGAGCUAGGGUUCUGGAGGGGAAAGCGGAAUUCCUGGUGUAGCGGUGAAAUGCGUAGAUAUCCGGAGGAACACCGGUGGCGAAGGCGGCUUCCUGGACCGAUUACUGACGCUGAGGCGCGAAAGCUAGGGGAGCAAACGGG